UAAUGAUUAUCAAACCUAGGGUCCCACUGCCAGCCUCACCUUAAGAGUGCUGUGAUCUGAUCUCUGAAGCUAAGCAGAUCAGUCCUGGUUAGUACUUGGAUGGGAGACCACCUAGGAAGACCAGGU
ensembl:rRNA 5S_rRNA 5S ribosomal RNA